GCAAAACUAAAACAUAUCUUGGCUUACCCAAGGGAAAUCUUUUGUGUUUACUUUAUUAAAUUAAAGCCCUUGCGUAAACCUUUUGAAUUAUUUUGGCCUUUUUGUGGGGCUAAGAUCAACUAAUACAUAACAAAUGGGACAAUUGCAUCUCGUAAUUUAAUAAAAUAAAAUUAUUAACUGAGGGAGGAACCCCACUUCCAGGCUGUAUGGAAAGUUGGAUAUGGGAAUGGGACCCAAAUUAAGCUCAAAAUUUUCCAACGGUGCAAGUAUAUGCAUGUAAUGUAUUACGGGUGAGGUCCAGCUUUCUGUGUACAUGUGAAAUCUGGGCUUGAGACAAGGAAUGAGGCCUCCGCAGGCCCGCAAAUAGAGUGCAGGUCCUUCAUAUAUAGUAAAGGCCACUCCACAGUCCACAGGCCUAUGCGAGAGAGAGAGAGAGAGAGAGGGAGCGGGCAGUGACCCUGCAAUUGUAGGACACAGGGACCUCCAAACUCCGCGGGGAAAUGGAAAGAUGCCAAUGCAUGAGACAAAACGGCAUUGACAGCCUUCACGUUGUAUUCAAGCUCCCUUCACCCACCCACCACUUGUACAGUACGUACCCUCUCUCUCUCUCUCUCUCUCUCAUGCGUGAAACGAGACCAAGUGUUUCAGCUGCGUGUCUGUCCCAUCAAUGUGUUCUUGUGGUUUUGCAGGCAGGCUAGGGUUAAUUAUUUGUUUUGGUGGUC
rnacentral:lncRNA from 1 species